UGCCCAGCAACUCCUAUCCCUACCUCCACGAGGUACCGGCCGGAAACUAUGAGCAACCAUAGGGAAGAUCGGGUAACCACCCCGGUGGGAACUUUGGUCGUAGGCUGACAGGGAAGG
rfam:Aedes albopictus isolate Foshan contig113432, whole genome shotgun sequence.